GAAUCUUAGACAAUGGGGGCAACCCUGAUCUAGCCAUGCCGCGUGAGUGAUGAAGGCCUUAGGGUUGUAAAGCUCUUUCAGCUGGGAAGAUAAUGACGGUACCAGCAGAAGAAGCCCCGGCUAACUCCGUGCCAGCAGCCGCGGUAAUACGGAGGGGGCUAGCGUUGUUCGGAAUUACUGGGCGUAAAGCGCACGUAGGCGGACCAGAAAGUUGGGGGUGAAAUCCCGGGGCUCAACCCCGGAACUGCCUUCAAAACUAUUGGUCUGGAGUUCGAGAGAGGUGAGUGGAAUUCCGAGUGUAGAGGUGAAAUUCGUAGAUAUUCGGAGGAACACCAGUGGCGAAGGCGGCUCACUGGCUCGAUACUGACGCUGAGGUGCGAAAGCGUGGGGAGCAAACAG
rnacentral:rRNA from 1 species